ACUGGAUUCUUUUGUGUCAAUGAAUUUUUUAUUUAAAUCUUAUUUCUUAUCUGGAUCUGAAUUUUUUUAUCAACUAGAACAAAGUAAAUGACUGCAGAGCUGAUCCCAUAUUGAUAAUGAUGAUGAUAAAAGACACAACCCUCAAUAAUGUCAAAUAGAUGCUUUUUCUACUUGUAGGCUCACAUCAUUGAUCUUCUUUACCAGCUUGUUGUAUGCGUGGUAUGUUUCCCUUGCUUUCUCCUUCUUCUCAAAGACUACCCUUGGUAUCCUUUUUAGUUCCGAAGUUAAUCUCUGCCUCUCCUUACAAUUAGUAUUCCUGAAAGGUUCAGGAUCAAUGGGUGACCUCCCUCAUGAGGUGGCGCGCUUUCCCAGCAAUCUGGUGUCAAUGGGAUUCCUGUUGUUUAUAUAAGAUACAUUUAGUUUAAAUCAAGUUCCAAUCUGAUGUUAGGAGAGUCCCUGAGGUGGACCAAAUUUCUUUCCACAAUAACUGCGCCUUCAUUUGCAUUUGUGUUUUUAUUUUCUUGGUUGUGAGACUACCCAGGAAAAUUUCUUUCUACAAUAACUGUGCCUUCAUUUGCAUUUGUGUUUUUAUUUUCCUGGAUGUGAGAUUUGGAAUGAGCUCCUUCUAUGUCACUGGAGAAGUCCAUUUAAUGGCAGAUUCAAAAUUGGGAUGAAUGUGGUCCUAUUGAUUCCAUGUGCCAAAAUCUAGGAUUUGGUAUAGUUUGAAGAGGGUGUUAUUUUAAAUCCAAGGCCCUUAAUGAUUGAGGAGUGGUCAAAUUGAUCUUGGCAUGCCAAUGAUGUGAUUGGGGUCAAAAUGGAAUCUACCAAAUAUUGUUUGUCUAGGAAGGGUUCAGCAAUGUACUAGACUUAUUGGUAGGUCAGUGGCCUUGCAAAUGAUCAAAAUGACAUGACAUUAUCAUGCGUGAUGGAGGUCAAAUGCGAUCUUAUUAAGACUUUUUUGGUACAUGUAGGGAGAAUUGCAUACUGGAGGCACCAAUAGGAUCCAUUAAUCUUGUAAUUGCUCUGAGCACAUGGAGAGUAUGAUAGAGGUCAAAAGGGGAACUGGUAAAGAUUUUGAUGGUCUGGGGAAUGUUUGGACCCAUAAACGUCUCUCAUGGUUUGAUUAGACAUGCUGGAUGCUAUCCCAUGAUCUAUGCUGUUUUUGAUUUUUUGGGUUGGUGGUGGUUGAGAGAGUAAAUGCCAAGUUAAGAAGACUAUUGAGGGAUGCUUUGUUAUCAACAAGGUAAUAGGUAAACAGAUAAAAUGAAUAUAUGGCGUGCAAGUUUAUUGAAAACAGGAUUGGAAUGGAGAGUGUAAGAUUUGUGAUGGGGUAAUGACAAUUUUAUCAUCUGGGUUCAGUGAUAUAUAGGGAGGAACAGUUUAAAGAGGCCAUUGCCCAUUGAAUUAGACUGGGCCAAUGAAGUGAAGGGGGAUUCUCAAGUACUGUAUGAUAAUCCCUAAUACAUUCCAUUAAUACUAUAAUAUUAAGACAGCUAGGACAGUAAUAAAUGCUUUGUGGAGCUGUUCUGCAAUCAGAAGAUGGGAGGCCUUGUGGGAACCGUUGUGCAUUCAGAAGCUGGCUUUGCUGGUAGAAACUAUAAAGUUGAGCGUCUGAUGAUUUGCUUCUACAGAGUCAAUCAAAGGUUUUGGAAACUACAUAUAAUUAAAAUAACUAAGCUGACCCCAUUUAGUUGGGAAAAGGUUGAGUUGUUGUGUUGUUGUUGUUGCAAACAUGUGUGAUGGCUUAGUAAACGUACUUUGUGUGUGAUUUAUUUGACUUUGAAUGUUAUUGGAGUCACCAUAAUGCAGUGGUAAAAACAAAAUUUUAUAGCUUCUCAUACUUGUUGAGAUUUUCUCCCAUGGUUCCACAAGGAUAACACUCCCUCAAUAUAAAAAAACAUAGAUGGUGUCCUUUGCUUAGGUUUCUUGUGGUUAGUUCAAUUUGCUGAAAACUUGUUCGGCAAAAUGUUGCUUGUAUGUCCUUUUUACAUGGAGCUUAACUCAACUAUAUAUUAUGAAUUGGGAUUAUAUCCUUUGUUAAGUUCAGCACCUGAUGUGGAUUCUGUUCUUUUCUCAAAUCAUGUUAAUGCGUUUGAUUAUGUAAAACUGAUGAUUUCUAAUCUCUUUGAUUUAUGUUUGAGCUUUGUUGGACAAUUUAGUUAGCCUUUUCUUCAUGCUUCAUCUGGGCUGGGCCUCCAAGGGACUCAACCACAAAAUCAUUAAUUGGAGCACGCCCAUGGCUUGGCAAUUUUAUUCACCAAGGACCUUUUGUGACGCUGGAAAAUUAUAGAGGAUUAGGAGGUAACACAAGUGAGCACUUCAAAAGAAAAAAAAAGAAGAACUCUUCGUCCAAAGGAAAUCCACCCAAGGGAUAAGAGAACUCAAGAAGAACUGCUUAUUCUCAAAGGGCCAAAGGUUCCAAUAAAAUUAUGAAUAAACUCCAAGUAUUCUACAUUCCAUUCACUCGUUUAAGCUUAUAUAGAUGAGCAUGGAACAACUUUUUAAGCAUAGGCAAUUUCCAAGAAUGAAAUUAUGACUAAUUGGAAAGACAAACGUUGGGAAGACAAAUAACUAUCUAAUAGAAAAGGGCUUUGGGAUUCUUGAAGGAAUUUUCCACAUCUUCAAGGGUUUAGAAACAUAAUGUUUGAAGUGCCCAAGAAGUUUUAGAACCGAAUUUGAAUGGCAGUUGGACUAAAAUGAUAAAUUCUGAAAUUCUAAGUGUCUGCAGUUAGCCCAGACACACUUUACUAAAAUGGUCAUAACUUCUAGAAAAUUGCAAAUGAGGCACCAUUUUUUUUUGUUGGACAAUAGACUUUUAGACCUUUCCAUCCAUAUAUGGCAUGACUUCUAGUUCCUCCUGAGUUGGUACAGGUGUCGCCAUAAAGUUACCCCAAAAUCCUGGACUGUAACUUUUAUUUCUAGUUUCUAUCCUUUGGCUUAGGCUUGUGGGUUUAUUGGGCUGGGUUGUUGGCCCAUUUGAAUGCUCCUACAUCAUUUUGUAUCCUGACUGGUUUUUUUUUUUGGUGAGAGAAUUAAUUUUAUUCACUUUAGUCCAUCAUAUUCCUAAACAAUACAUCAUGUUUUGGGGCCUACCUACCCCACCCCACAAAAAAAUAAAAAUAAAAACCUUUGUAAAGAAGUAUUCCAAAUUAACGAAAACACAAAAGUAUAUUUCUGAGUCAGAAAUACUAAUUUGGAACAGAAAUGUUGUCAUACAAAAUCAGCCUUAGUGGCUGAUUUUGUUGAGAUGGAGAAGCUUCCUUCAUGUCUUAUCUUGAACCGACAUAUUACAUUAGAUUAUGGAAUUAUUUUUUGCAAUAUACAUUUCUUAUUAAUAGGUUAUGUGAAAAAGCUUUCUGUAUACCUUCUUAUAACCUAUAAUGACAGAUUUAUUAUAUUGAUGUAUCUUCAGUAAAAACCACUUCCAAGUCCUUUUAUCCCUGCCAUAUCUGGUGCUUGGCAUUUGUAUUGCCACACUCUUUAUCUGUGGAGCAUACCAUAUUUAAACUUUUUAUUAAUUUUUUCCAUUAUUUUUUUUCUUGGGAUUCCAGUGUUAAAUAUAAUAUAUUUGCUUUCCCCUUUUCCUAUCAACUGUUUAGGUUUUGCCUAAUAUCAGAGCAGCAACAGUGAACGAUUCUAUGACAAACAAUAGAGAAUUUAUUGAUAUUUUUUUCCUCAUAGAAAGAAGUUCUGAGGAUAAGAGUGGUUCGAUAUUCAUUAGCUUAGCUUUGUCUCUGCUUCUGGGAUUGGAUUCUUCUACAUGAAGUGGAAGAGCCCUUAGAGGAUCACAGAAAUCAUGUUCUAUUUUCUGAGGCGAAGUUGAAGUGAGCAGAGGGCCACUUAUGGAUCCCUGUAUACCCAUUUCAUGGGAUCCUUGUUGAAGUUUACAUGCUUGUGGAAUAUCUUGUUCCUGCUAUUUCUUAUGUUCUAGGCUAGAUCAUAAGAUUAAAAAAUUUCCGGCAUGGCCAAUGUGUCGAUCAUGUUUUUCGCAGCUUCACAGUGGGAAGAUUUUCUCGUGAUGUUUAAACCAGUGAUAAAAGGCAAAAUUUAGUCAAUCCUUGGAUCUGCUGUUGGAUCUCAUGCUAGGAUGCAGCUUCUUGAUCUUGGAGUGAUCAUUUGGAUGUUAAUUGGAGCAGACAAAGUUCAUGCUUUUACAGACAUAAGAAAAUGUUAGAAUCAUGUUCCAUCUAACAUGGUUAGUUUGCUGUAAAGAUAUUCAGAUCAAUGCAGAUGCAAUCAUUAUGGCUCCAA